GAUGGAGCUUGCUCCAGGCGUCGAGCGGCGGACGGGUGAGUAAUGCAUAGGAAUCUGCCCGGUAGUGGGGGAUAACCUGGGGAAACCCAGGCUAAUACCGCAUACGUCCUACGGGAGAAAGCAGGGGAUCUUCGGACCUUGCGCUAUCGGAUGAGCCUAUGUCGGAUUAGCUUGUUGGUGAGGUAAUGGCUCACCAAGGCGACGAUCCGUAGCUGGUCUGAGAGGAUGAUCAGCCACAUCGGGACUGAGACACGGCCCGAACUCCUACGGGAGGCAGCAGUGGGGAAUAUUGGACAAUGGGCGAAAGCCUGAUCCAGCCAUGCCGCGUGUGUGAAGAAGGCUUUCGGGUUGUAAAGCACUUUCAGUGAGGAAGAAGGCCUUGGGGCUAAUACCCCCGAGGAAAGACAUCACUCACAGAAGAAGCACCGGCUAACUCCGUGCCAGCAGCCGCGGUAAUACGGAGGGUGCAAGCGUUAAUCGGAAUUACUGGGCGUAAAGCGCGCGUAGGCGGCGUGAUAAGCCGGUUGUGAAAGCCCCGGGCUCAACCUGGGAACGGCAUCCGGAACUGUCAGGCUAGAGUGCAGGAGAGGAAGGUAGAAUUCCCGGUGUAGCGGUGAAAUGCGUAGAGAUCGGGAGGAAUACCAGUGGCGAAGGCGGCCUUCUGGACUGACACUGACGCUGAGGUGCGAAAGCGUGGGUAGCAAACAGGAUUAGAUACCC
rnacentral:rRNA from 1 species